CAGGACUCCUGCAGGCACACACGCAAGCAGGAAAAUGGGACUUGAUUGAUUCUUGGGGCACCACUGCAUAGACUCUAACACUACUACAUCAUGGAAGUUUUUCAGAGCUCUCCUCCUGCAUGGGGUCCACAGUAAGAUCUGCAGGGAGUCAGGUGGCACAGGUAGCCUAGAGUAACAGAUAGUAAUGGUGUCCUGGAACGACAAUGAAGCAGAAAACUCUUUUUCCAUUACCUAUUUUACUGUAAGAUUUCACCUGCAUGCAAAAAAAGAGGAUAAACUGAUGGCAACAUUGUUCCCAAGAGCUGAAAAAAGGU